CCCUUAGAUGUUCGGGGCCGCACGCGCGCUACACUGAAGGACUCAGCGUGCCUCUCCCCCUAUCCCGAAAGGGAUGGGCAACCCGUUGAACCUCCUUCGUGCUAGGGAUUGGGGUUUGCAAUUAUCCCCCAUGAACGAGGAAUUCCCAGUAAGCGCGAGUCAUCAGCUCGCGUUGAUUACGUCCCUGCCCUUUGUACACACCGCCCGUCGCCCCUACCGAUUGGGUGUGCUGGUGAAAUGUUCGGAUCGGCCGUUUGUCGCGGUUUCCGCGUCAUGUGGCUGAGAAGUUCAUUAAACCCUCCCACCUAGAGGAAGGAGAAGUCGUAACA
rnacentral:rRNA from 1 species